GGAUUGAUUUGUUUUAAAAUGUAAGUAGCUGGUGUUUAAACAAACUACUGUCGCCAAUAACAAUUUCAACAAUUAAAAUAUUUAAAUGUUUACCACAGGAGCAAAUAUUGCACAGCUUUUCGUUAGAAGUGGCAGGACUGAACGUCUCCUGUUACCCAGAUGUUCAACAGAGAGAUUUAGGAGGUCUUUUGUUCCUGCAGCAGCUAAGCUUUUUAAUCAGGACUACUAAUUUGAUUGAUGUAAUUCUGCUGUAUUUAUAUUUAUUGAUGCUGUUGACCGGUUGUGGCAAUAGGGUUCCAUUCCAUAUUUUUAGUUCAGUUUUGACCUUCUAUUAAUUGACUAUGGUAGUGGACCAUACUCCCUCUGUGACCAUGCUUGUUCCUUGUUUUAUGUUGGUACUUGUAUUCCUGUGCUGUACUGUAUUUUCUAUGUUGUAUACAGGCCAUGGUGGCAAACCAGUUUCCCCAUUGGGGAUUAAUAAAGUUAAUCCAAAAAGCGGAAGCGGAAGCGCUUCCACACUAGCAAGACGUUCCAAACUCUGAACGCUGCAAACGCUAGGCAGCACUCUAGCCAGCACUUUAGCCUCAUCUCCAUAGGACGCGACUAGCAAGGAAGUGUUCUAGCAAGGUUGCAGCCUUCAUUUUGGGAAAUAGCCCCAGCUGAGGUUCACAGCCCACAGGAAGUAAGACAUUUCUAGGAAAGGGGUGGGCUGCACCAACUGGUAUUUACCAAGCCUUGCAUCCACCGUUCUGCAUUGAUCAUUCUGAGCUUUUGAGUGCCAAAAGGAUUUCUCAUAACAAAUUGACUUUUUAACAUUUUCAUAACCUUCAUAAUGUGAAGCUAAUUUGUGUUUCACAAUUUAAUAUAUGUUUGCGAACCGCCAAAUCAUCAGCUCCAAGUUGUUUUCAUGGUCUGCAGAGAAGAAGGCAAGGCUACUUUAUUUAUAUAGCACUUUUCAUACACAAUGCAGCCUCAAAGUGCUUCACAUAUAAACAUUGUCAUACGAUAAAAUAAAAUAAUAGAUAAUUAAAAGUAAUGUAUUUAAGAUCAUUUAUUUUUAAUUCGACACCCACAACACGUUUCGAACAUGAAACUUAAUGGAAACAAUGGAACGUGGGAAAGAUAUCAGAAUAACUAAUCAUUUCUUAAUCUUCUUUAUUUGUGCUUUAGGUGUCGUUCGGGUAACUUUGUUUGUACAGAUAUUGUCAGUAGCAGAAACCUAACCUAGAUUUAAGGAACGCUAGGGAUUGGCCUGAUCCAGGCCUGGUCUGCUUGAAAUCUGUCUGGACGGUAGGGCCAGACUCAAAUGCCAGGGCAAAUAAAACAUGAGCUUGCAAAUUCGUCUGGCUCCCAGAUCUGCAGGAUCCGCACCACAAUGUUAUGGUAUAUAGGAAGGAAUUGCAAGGUGGUUUGUAUCUUUAUUUUAUUUUGAGACAUAGUGCCAUUGGUUUGAUACAAUGUUUGCUUUAUCUGUUUGGUGAAAAAAGUUGAAUAUUUAAUGUGACCAAUGAGCUGGUUCUGAAUGAAUAUGUCUGAAUAAAUUACAUUAUACUA